UACGAAGGGGGCUAGCGUUGCUCGGAAUCACUGGGCGUAAAGCGCACGUAGGCGGGUCCUUAAGUCGGGGUGAAAUCCCGGAGCUCAACUCCGGAACUGCCUUCGAUACUGGGACCUCGAGUCCGGGAGAGGUGAGUGGAACUGCGAGUGUAGAGGUGAAAUUCGUAGAUAUUCGCAAGAACACCAGUGGCGAAGGCGGCUCACUGGCCCGGUACUGACGCUGAGGUGCGAAAGCGUGGGGAGCAACAGG
rnacentral:rRNA from 1 species